CCCUUAGAUGUUCUGGGCCGCACGCGCGCUACACUGACGAUGUCGGAGAGUGUCUCCUUCACCGAGAGGUGUGGGUAAUCUUUUAAACAUCGUCGUGCUGGGGAUAGAUCAUUGCAAUUUUUGAUCUUAAACGAGGAAUUCCUAGUAAGCGCGAGUCAUCAGCUCGCGCUGAUUACGUCCCUGCCCUUUGUACACACCGCCCGUCGCUACUACCGAUUGAAUGGUUUAGUGAGGCCUUCUGACUGGCGCCGCUACUCUGGCAACAGAGCGGCGGAUGCCGGGAAGUUGGUCAAACUUGAUCAUUUAGAGGAAGUAAAAGUCGUAACA
rnacentral:rRNA from 1 species